rnacentral:tRNA from 1 species
GUUUUGGUGGUUCAGCGGUAGAACUGUCACCUUCCAUGCGGGAGACCCAGGUUUGAAUCCUGGCCAAUGCA